rnacentral:piRNA from 1 species
UGUCAUGUCUGUAAUGCUCAACAAUUUA